GCAUAAGCCAGCUUGACUGCGAGCGUGACGGCGCGAGCAGGUGCGAAAGCAGGUCAUAGUGAUCCGGUGGUUCUGAAUGGAAGGGCCAUCGCUCAACGGAUAAAAGGUACUCCGGGGAUAACAGGCUGAUACCGCCCAAGAGUUCAUAUCGACGGCGGUGUUUGGCACCUCGAUGUCGGCUCAUCACAUCCUGGGGCUGAAGUAGGUCCCAAGGGUAUGGCUGUUCGCCAUUUAAAGUGGUACGCGAGCUGGGUUUAGAACGUCGUGAGACAGUUCGGUCCCUAUCUGCCGUGGGCGCUGGAGAACUGAGGGGGGCUGCUCCUAGUACGAGAGGACCGGAGUGGACGCAUCACUGGUGUUCGGGUUGUCAUGCCAAUGGCACUGCCCGGUAGCUAAAUGCGGAAGAGAUAAGUGCUGAAAGCAUCUAAGCACGAAACUUGCCCCGAGAUGAGUUCUCCCUGAGACUUUAGGUCUCCUGAAGGAACGUUGAAGACGACGACGUUGAUAGGCCGGGUGUGUAAGCGCAGCGAUGCGUUGAGCUAACCGGUACUAAUGAACCGUGAGGCUUAACCUU
rnacentral:rRNA from 1 species